rnacentral:ncRNA from 2 species
UGUGACCAUACCAAACUGUUGCCUCGGCGGGGUCACGCCCCGGGUGCGUCGCAGCCCCGGAACCAGGCGCCCGCCGGAGGGACCAACCAAACUCUUUCUGUAGUCCCCUCGCGGACGUUAUUUCUUACAGCUCUGAGCAAAAAUUCAAAAUGAAUCAAAACUUUCAACAACGGAUCUCUUGGUUCUGGCAUCGAUGAAGAACGCAGCGAAAUGCGAUAAGUAAUGUGAAUUGCAGAAUUCAGUGAAUCAUCGAAUCUUUGAACGCACAUUGCGCCCGCCAGUAUUCUGGCGGGCAUGCCUGUCCGAGCGUCAUUUCAACCCUCGAACCCCUCCGGGGGGUCGGCGUUGGGGAUCGGGAACCCCUAAGACGGGAUCCCGGCCCCGAAAUACAGUGGCGGUCUCGCCGCAGCCUCUCCUGCGCAGUAGUUUGCACAACUCGCACCGGGAGCGCGGCGCGUCCACGUCCGUAAAACACCCAACUUCUGAAAUGUUGACCUCGGAUCAGGUAGGAAUACCCGCUGAACUUAAGCAUAUCAAUA